UGUGUGUGGACUUUAUAGGGAGCAUUAACAC
rnacentral:piRNA from 1 species